GCUAUUGAGGGAAUUGGAAUUUUGCAAAAUUGGGAUUUGGGGGUUCGAGUGGUUCUGUUGAACAACGCUUUCUUGUGCUUGAAGAGUUUCGCUGUUAAGGGAAUUAGAUUUUUGCAAAAUUAGGCUCCUCUUAUCAUUCGUCAUCCCCGACUCUCUGCAUCUCUUCCCCGGCCACCAGCAACACUGCGAAGACUCCGUGACUGCCCGGGGACUGUCUAUUCAAGUAUAUCCGACGACUGUCCGCUUUUUCUGCUUGUCUGCCGCGAUUCACCCAUCUCUACCCGCACAUACCUCCCCUCAAUCGGCAACUCGAGAUGGGUUGGAAGUUGAGAGAGGAAAACCAUGAAAAAUCAACUUCAGAAUAUGGGGAUAACAACGACUACUUUAGCAUCGAAAUGCACCAUUCUAGUUGGGUUUAUAACAUUGGCUACUCUAGGUCCUAUGUUGGGGGAAUGUUCAACUACUUUGACUACUGUGAGGGUGAUGAGAUGUCUAUGAUAGAAAUUCAUGAUAUGGCCGAAAAUAUUGGAGUAACAGAAUUUAUUGCUUUUUACUUCAGUAGGGAAGGGGUAAAUAAUUACAAUGCUUUACAGCUUAUGUAACAUGACCAUGAUGUAUUGAAAGUGCCUUACUUUGCUGAUCCAGAGAGGGUUGUUGGGAUUUUUAUUGAGCAUCAAAAGGUUGAUAGUAAUAUUAGUGAGGGUGCAUCUAAUUUGAAGAGUUGUCAUGCUAGUUUUUCUAAGUUAUAUGAACCCACUGCUGCUGAAGAAAUUAAUAUGGGAGUUGAUGUUUCUGAUUUACAUGAAGAGCCCUUUGGAAAUGUGACUAUGGAUAUCGAGGAUGUUGUUUUGGACAAUAAUAAUAGUGGGGGAGGAUGAUGAAGCUUCCAUUGGAGAUGAUUCAGAUCACACUGA